CUUUCAGCUGCAUCCGAGCAGAACCCCUAGGCAUAAGGUCAGAAUUGGACCCAUGUAUGCGCUGCACACGUGGCCAGGAAGCCAUCCUUUGCAAAUCUGUUCAAGUCCUUUGGAGGAGCCUUUGAGCAUGUUCUGCUCCUCUCCUUGCUGGAACUGGCCGUUAAGAGUUAUCCAAGGAUGGGCUAACAGCUAAAGAAGAGAUGCCUAUUACAGAAAAGCCAGUGCAUCACUCAGCAGAUGUAGCCGGGUCUACAGACCUGUCACAAGGAAGAGAUAUUUUGAGCAGGCGAAAAGGAGAGAGAGAUAUGAUAAGGCAAAACAGAACUAUUACCAGUAAAGAUGUGUGGCACCCCCACCCAUUUUCAAAAGGGAAGACUGGUGAUUAAAAUAAUUCAGGGCUCUUGCAGCUGGAUGCAGUCUUCUGUAUCUGUUCCAGGAUGUACUUACAAACUCUGCAUGUCAUCUGGACCUGCAGCGCAAGCACUGGAAUGGUCUCUGUAUGAAGCAGUACUGAGUGUUUGUGCAUGCAGAAUUAUUUUUC